AUACGGAGGAUGCGAGCGUUAUCCGGAUUUAUUGGGUUUAAAGGGUGCGUAGGCGGAUUAAUAAGUCAGUGGUGAAAUCCUGCAGCUUAACUGUGGAACUGCCAUUGAUACUGUUAGUCUUGAGUAUGGUCAAGGUAGGCGGAAUGUGUAAUGUAGCGGUGAAAUGCUUAGAUAUUACACAGAACACCGAUUGCGAAGGCAGCUUACUGGGCCAUUACUGACGCUGAUGCACGAAAGCGUGGGGAUC
rnacentral:rRNA from 1 species